rnacentral:lncRNA from 1 species
CCAGACUCGGUUUCUUGGUUCCGUCCCAAAACGCCGAAGAAAGGCACAAUGGCCUAGAAAGGGAUAGUCGGACUUGGAACGGGGUCCGAGGCCUCGAAAGUCCACAUCUAGCUACUGGGUGGUCCGAUUCUGAGUGAUCUCGAACUUUCUUGUCCACAAAAGCCGAACGGUGACGCCCCAGACUCGGUUUCUUGGUUCCGUCCCAAAACGCCGAAGAAAGGCACAAUGGCCUAGAAAGGGACGGUCGGACUUGGAACGGGGUCCGAGGCCUCGAAAGUCCACAUCAAGCUACUGGGUGGUCCGAUUCUGAGUGAUCUCGAAGUUUCUAGCCACAAAAGCCGAACGGUGACGCCCCAGACUCGGUUUUUUGGUUCCGUCCCAAAACGCCGAAGAAAGGCACAAUGGCCUAGAAAGGGACGGUCGGACAUGGAACGGGGUCCGAGGCGUCGAAAGUCCACAUCUAGCUACUGGGUGGUCCGAUUCCGAGUGAUCUCGAAGUUUCUUGCCCACAAAAGCCGAACGGUGCGCCCCAGACUCGGUUUCUUGGUUCCGUCCCGAAACGCCGAAGAAAGGCACAAUGGCCUCGAAAGGGACGGUCGGACUUGGAACGGGGUCUGAGGCCUCGAAAGUCCACAUCUAGCUACUUGGUGGUCCGAUUCUGAGUGAUCUCGAAGUUUCUUGCCCAGAAAAGCCGAACGGUGUCGCCCUAGACUCGGUUUCUUGGUUCCGUCCCAAAACGCCGAAGAAAGGCACAAUGGCCCAGUAAGGGACGGUCGGACUAGGAACGGGGUCCGAGGCCUCGAAAGUCCACAUCUAGCUACUGGGUGGUCCGAUUCUGAGUGAUCUCGAAGUUUCUUGCCCACAAAAGCCGAACGGUGACGCCCCAGACUCGGUUUCUUGGUUUUGUCCCAUAACGCCGAAGAAAGGCACAGUGGCCUAGAAAGGGACGGUCGGACUUGGAACGGGGUCCUAGGCCUCGAAAGUCCACAUCUAGCUACUUGAUGGUCCGAUUCUGAGUGAUCUCGAAGUUUCUUGGCCACAAAAGCCGAACGGUGACGCCCCAGACUCGGUUUCUUGGUUCCGUACCAAAACGCCGAAGAAAGGCACAGUGGCCUAGAAAGGGACGGUCGGACUUGGAACGGGGUCCGAGGCCUCGAAAGUCCACAUCUAGCUACUGGGUGGUCCGAUUCUGAGUUAUCUCGAAGUUUCUUGCGCACAAAAACCAAACGGUGACGCCCCAGACUCGGUUUCUUGGUUCCUUCCGAAAACGCCGAAGAAAGACACAAUGGCCUAGAAAGGGACGGUCGGACUUGGAACGCAGUCCGGGGCCUCGAAAGUCCACAUCUAGCUACUGGGUGGUCCGAUUCUGAGUGAUCUCGAAGUUUCUUGCCCACAAAAGCCGAACGGUGUCGCCCCAGACUCGGUUUCUUGGUUCCGUCCCAAAACGUCGAAGAAAGGCACAUUGGCCUAGAAAGGGACGGUCGGACUUGGAACGGUGUCCGAGGCCUCGAAAGUCCACAUCUAGCUACUCCGUGGUCCGAUUCUGAGUGAUCUCGAAGUUUCUUGCCCACAAAAGGCGAACGGUGACGCCCCAGACUCGGUUUCUUGGUUCCGUCCAAAAACGCCGAAGAAAGGGACAAUGGCCUAGAAAGGGACGGUCGGACUUGGAACGCGGUCCGAGGCCUCGAAAGUCCACAUCUAACUACCGGGUGGUCCGAUUCUGAGUGAUCUCGAAGUUUCUUGCCCACAAAAGCUGAACGGUGACGCCCCAAACUCGGUUUCUUGGUUCCGUCCCAAAACGCCGAAGAAAGGCACAAUUUCCUAGAAAGGGACGAUCGGACUUGGAACGGGUCCGAGGCCUCGAAAGUCCACAUCUAGCUACUGGGUGGUCCGAUUCUGAGUGAUCUCGAAGUUUCUUGCCCACAAAAGCCGAACGGUGACGCCCCAGACUCGGUUUCUUGGUUCCGUCCCAAAACGCUGAAGAAAGGCACAAUGGCCUAGAAAGGGACGGUCGGACUUGGAACGAGGUCCGAGGCCUCGAAAGUACACAUGUAGCUACUGGGUGGUCUGAUUCUUAGUGACCUUGAAGUUUCUUAACCACAAAAGCCGAACGGUGACGCCCCAGACUCGGUUUCUUGGUUCCCUCCCAAAACGCCGAAGAAAGGCACAAUGGCCUAGAAAGGGACGGUCGGACUUGGAACGGGGUCCGAAGCCUCGAAAGUCCACAUGUAGCUACUGGGUGGUCCGAUUCUUUGUGAUCUCGAAGUUUCUUGACCACAAAAGCCGAACGGUGACGCCCAGACUCGGUUUCUUGGUUCCGUCCCAAAACGCCGAAGAAAAGCACAAUGGCCUAGAAAGGGACGGUCGGACUUGGAACGGGGUCCGAGGCCUCGAAAGUCCACAUCUAGCUACUGGGUGGUCUGAUUCUUUGUGAUCUCGAAGUUUCUUGCCCACAAAAGCCGAACGGUGACGCCCAGACUCGGUUUCUUAGUUCCGUCCCAAAACGCCGAAGAAAGGCACAAUUUCCUAGAAAGGGACGGUCGGACUUGGAACGGGGUCCGAGGCCUCGAAAGUCCAUAUCUAGCUACUGGGUGGUCCGAUUCUGAGUGAUCUCGAAGUUUCUUGCCCACAAAAGCCGAACGGUGACGCCCGAGACUCGGUUUCUUGGUUCCGUCCCAAAACGCCGAAGAAAAGCACAAUGGCCUAGAAAGGGACGGUCGGACUUGGAACGGGGUCCGAGGCCUCGAAAGUCCACAUCUAGCUACUGGGUGGUCUGAUUCUUUGUGAUCUCGAAGUUUCUUGCCCACAAAAGCCGAACGGUGACGCCCCAGACUCGGUUUCUUGGUUCCGUCCCAAAACGCCGAAGAAAGGCACAAUGGACUAGAAAGAGACGGUCGGACUUGGAACGGGGUCCGAGGCCUCAAAAGUCCACAUCUAGCUACUGGGUGGUCCGAUUCUUUGUGAUCUCGAAGUUUCUUGCCCACAAAAGCCGAACGGUGACGCCCCAGACUCGGUUUCUUGGUUCCGUCACAAAACGCCGAAGAAAGGCACAAUGGCCUAGAAAGGGACGGUCGGACUUGGAACGGGGUCCGAGGCCUCGAAAGUCCACAUCUAGCUACUGGGUGGUCCGAUUCUUUGUGAUCUCGAAGUUUCUUGCCCACAAAAGCCGAACGGUGACGCCCCAGACUCGGUUUCUUGGUUCCAUCCCAAAACGCGGAAGAAAGGCACAAUGGCCUAGAAAGGGACGGUCGGACUUGGAACGGGGUCCGUUGCCUCGAAAGUCCACAUCUAGCUACUGGGUGGUCCGAUUCUGAGUGAUCUCGAAGUUUCUUGCCCACAAAAGCCGAACGGUGACGCCUAGACUCGGUUUCUUGGUUUCGUCCCAAAACGCCGAAGAAAGGCACAGUGGCCUAGAAAGGGACGGUCGGACUUGGAACGGGGUCUGAGGCCUCGAAAGUCCACAUCUAGCUACUGGGUGGUCCGAUUCUUUGUGAUCUCGAAGUUUCUUGCCCACAAAAGCCGAACGGUGACGCCCAGACUCGGUUUCUUGGUUCCGUCCCAAAACGCCGAAAAAAGGCACAAUGGCCUAGAAAGGGACGGUCGGACUUGGAACGGGGUCCGAGGCCUCGAAAGUCCACAUCUAGCUACUGGUGGUCCGAUUCUUUGUGAUCUGGAAGUUUCUUGCCCACAAAAGCCGAACGGUGAUGCCCGAGACUCGGUUUCUUGGUUCCGUCCCAAAACGCCGAAGAAAGGCACAAUGGCCUAGAAAUGGACGGUCCGACUCGGAACGGGGUCCGAGGCCUCGAAAGUCCACAUCUAGCUACUGGGUGGUUCGAUUCAGAGUGAUCUCGAAGUUUCUUGCUCACAAAAGCCGAACGGUGACACCCCAGACUCGGUUUCUUGGUUCCGUCCCAAAACGCCGAAGAAAGGCACAAUGGCCUAGAAAGGGACGAUCGGACUUGGAACGGGGUCCGAGGCCUCGAUAGUCCACAUCUAGCUACUAGGUGGUCCGAUUCUUUGUGAUCUUGAAGUUUCUUGCCCACAAAAGCCGAACGGUGACGCCCCAGACUCGGUUUCUUGGUUUCGUCCCAAAACGCCGAAGAAAGGCACAAUGGCCUAGAAAGGGACGGUCGGACUUGGAACGGGGUCCGAGGCCUCGAAAGUCCACAUCUAGCUACUGGGUGGUCCGAUUCUUUGUGAUCUCGAAGUUUCUUGCACACAAAAGCCGAACGGUGACGCCCCAGACUCGGUUUCUUGGUUCCGUCCCAAAACGCCGAAGAAAGGCACAAUGGCCUAGAAAGGGACGGUCGGACUCGGAACGGGGUCCGAGGCCUCGAAAGUCCACAUCUAGCGACUGGGUGGUCCGAUUCAGAGUGAUCUCGAAGUUUCUUGCCCACAAAAGCCAAACGGUGACUCCCCAGACUCGGUUUCUUGGUUCCGUCCCAAAACGCCGAAGAAAG